GGGCGGGUAGUCCAGCCCGGUCAAGACACUACCCUUACAAGGUAGGGAUCGAGAGUUCAAAUCUCUCCCCGCCCACCA
rnacentral:tRNA from 1 species